UGAGGAAUAUUGGUCAAUGGUCGCAAGACUGAACCAGCCAUGCCGCGUGCAGGAAGACGGUCCUAUGGAUUGUAAACUGCUUUUAUACAGGAAGAAACCCCUCCCACGUGUGGGAGCUUGACGGUACUGUAGGAAUAAGGAUCGGCUAACUCCGUGCCAGCAGCCGCGGUAAUACGGAGGAUCCAAGCGUUAUCCGGAAUCAUUGGGUUUAAAGGGGUCCGUAGGCGGUCUUAUAAGUCAGUGGUGAAAGCCCAUCGCUCAACGAUGGAACUGCCAUUGAUACUGUAAGACUUGAAUGCUUAGGAAGUAACUAGAAUAUGUAGUGUAGCGGUGAAAUGCUUAGAUAUUACAUGGAAUACCAAUUGCGAAGGCAGGUCACUACUAAGUGAUUGACGCUGAUGGACGAAAGCGUGGGGAGCG
rnacentral:rRNA from 1 species